UCACGGGUGAGAGGACCAGCUUUGGCAGCAGCCCGUCCCUUGUUCCCUGAGAGGAAGAAUUAAAGAACGUGACGGUGGGAAGAGUGCGCGUCUGCAGGCUUCUGUUUUCCUUAUAACGUUGGGGACAAGUUCACCCCCUUAGAGUCCGGAGGAGGUGGUGGGGUAGGAAACUUGGGGAGCGGUGAAGAUUUGGACUAGUUACAGCAGGGAGUGAAAGAGGAAACCAGACACAACUUUGGAAGGACCUGCCAAGCAACUGUGCAACUCCACUAUGUCCUGUGAUAACCAAUUUCAAUCGCAUAGCAUUUACACCCAUCACACUCACUUGAAGGCAAAGUUCCACAUGCAAGCAAGCUUCGAGCCCAGCACUGACUUGUAUUUCUCAUGCUGAAGGGAAGAAGCCUUGAGAGAAAUAUAACUAUUUUCGUAUUUAAUGUCAGCCGAUUACCAUAAAACUCAGGCAAUUGGGAGUAAGUGGUUUGUGCUCAAGAGCGUUUGUGACCAGAAACACAGCCAGCCCUGCAGCCUUCCCCAGCCAGGCCCUAAGCAAACCAGACUGGGGACCGUUCUGUGGAUCUUUCUGAUUCACUCAUACAUGGCAGGAUAAUUAUCGUGGUAGUAAUUUCUUUCUUGUUCUUGCAGCAGUGGGGGAAUUUAAAGAAGGAAAAGGCAGUGUUUCCACGUCCAUUCCUGUGUACGUCCCCAGGUCUAAGCUCUUUUUACUCCUUCGGGAGAUUUAACACUUCUUCGUGUUUAAGGGGCCACCCUGAAGUCAAUGCCCCACAGGCCUUGGUGUGGAAGGACUGUCAGAGAACUAACGCCACCCUUCGAAAUGGAAGACUGGGAAUCAGCACUACCGGCAUUUCCUGGACUAAAGGAGAAGGUGUUCUUCCAAAGCAGAACAGGUGCACUGGUCCCCCAGAGGCAAGGCGAAUGGAUGCUGGUGUCCCGAGGGACGGUUUCUCUCUGAAGGGUACUUGUUACAUCAGAUCUACCUGGAUCACCCCCAACCUCUUCUUCUCCACUGGCUCCUCCUCCCUGACCCCUACAUACACACUGGAAUCCCCCUUACCUUUGGAAUCAAUCUUGACAUCAAUGUUCUGGCUAUGGCUCCCUCUUUUUCCUGGAUGGGGAGAGAGGCUGAUGUCUCGAUAGGAAGAGGGGAGGGGCCUGUCUGGGGCUGUUUCCAGUAACUGUCCUUACUAGCAGUUCCCUAGUGGAGGGAAUGGCUACAUGUGUCAGCCAGGGAUACCAAACCCAAGAUCUGGCAAGGAUUUCUGUGUCCAGUCUUGACAUGGAGUCCCAUGUCUUCAAGGGAAUCCCAAAGGCAAAGGCAAAGAGCAUAGCAAGUUGUGGCCACAGGGGCUCUUCAGGUCAGAUAUUCAGGAUAAAGACCUCAGAGGCUUCUGUCUGCCUCUGAGGGAUGGCUCCUUCCCAAACUUAACUCAGUCUACAUUACCAGCCAAGCUACAAUGGCUUGAUUUUGGUUUGGAAGAUGAGGUUUGCUGCCCUCGAGUGUUGUGUGGGGUAAAGUCCUAGCUGUUACGCAUGUGGACAUCGAGUGCCAGGCACCGUGCUAAACCACCUGGGGGAUGAUGGUGCUGAACCAGGUCGGACGCAUCUUGGAGGAGUUGGAGCACACCACAGGCCUCUCCCUGAGCAUCUGGUGGUUCAGUGGUCAAGAUAUGGUCCUGAGUCAAAGACACUUACCUCAGGGGAGCUUGGGCUGUGCCUAAAAAUGUAAUCAAAACAAGCGAUCUUGUUUAAGCACUCUCCACAUCCUUUUUUCUCUUUUUUGAACAGGUGCAACCAUAUCAAAGAACCUAUAAUUCGCUCUAAAUCUUUUGUUAUUGAAUAUCUUCUUAAGUUUUAAACAUGCUUAGUUUUCAGAUGAGUCCAAUGUUAGCGUACGGUAGUAGUCACACCUCUGCCUAAGUCUGGAGGAGGAAACAAAGUGGCCAUAAUAAUGUGGAAAUAAUUCAUGAAAAUGUAGUGCCCAACAUUUUUUUCCUCCUGGAAACUGGCCAGGUCUUGUGCCCCGCUUCCUCUCAGAUGCACCAGAUGAGCGGAGAGCGUCGGCAAACCCUGGAGUCUGUGGCUCCCAGAUGCUGCUCGGGGUGGGAGAGUGCCUCCGUAGCUGCUCGGCCAUCUGGCCCAUCGCACUGCUGUCAAGUUGUGUUUUGCAGCGUCAACUGAUGAAGCUGUGCAGCGCAACAUGGCAGGCUGUGCUAGUGCCACGCGGAAAGUGAACGGGAUCCCAGGUGAUUCACCACCAGCCCUGCUUCCUCCAGGCUUCAUUUUUUUUUUUUUUUUUUUGCUGGCAGGGGAAUAUUCAAGAAAGGAAGAAAUUGCUGGAUGUAUCUGGCCCGAAGCUAUGAACGAAGUAGUUUCAGAUGCUUAAAGAAAUAAUACUACAAGCUACAUGUGAUCUCGUUCGUGGCAGCAAUUUGACUGGGAAACGUGUUUUGCUUUAAAUGAUUCUUAUUUUUGCUUAGCCAAAUCAACGUUCUACAAGAACUGAGAUGAAUGUAAUAAAUCUCUUUCAACUGUCCAUCAUCUAGUUUGAUAAUCCAGAACUAGGUAUUUUAGGUCGGUGGUCCUCAAAGGGUGGUCCUGGGUGGGCAGCAUCAGCUUCACCUGGGAACUUGCUAUAAACGCAUCAUAGACCCCAGCCCAGACCCCAUCCCAGACCCUCUGAGUCACACACUCUGGAGCCGGAGCCCAGCAGUUCAACAAACCCUGCAGGAAUUUCUCGGAAUGGCGGAUGGCAAGAGGGUCCUCGUCGCUGGAAAUGAACCAAUCCCUUAAGCAGAAGGUUCUGUGGUGGAGGAGCGGGGUGGGGCGCAAACAGGCCCUAAACAGCCAUUUCACCUGUGGCUCAAUGAGUCCCAGGUGAUCGCAGAGACUGAAAUCUCUUGGGAGAACAGAAAUGAGGAACGUGGGAGCAGAGUUUCUGGGGAUUUAGAACUCUGUCCCAGAAACUGACCCCAGCACCUGAAACUGACAGUGCAGACGCUCAGAACUUUUGAGGAAUUAUAAUUUUAAGAAUGGACUGGAUUCUCCUUCAAGAAAAUGUCAAUUUACUUGAAUUUUGAAGGAUAAAAUUUGAAACUCUCAAUGCUUAAAUUUCUA
rnacentral:lncRNA from 1 species